rnacentral:rRNA from 1 species
UCUUUUAGAGAUGAGUGGCGAACGGGUGAGUAAUACAUAGGUAACCUGCCCCUGUGCGGGGGAUAACAGGAGGAAACUCCUGCUAAUACCGCAUAGCCAUGAGCACCGCAUGGAGCUCAUGCCAAAUAUCCUUUCGGGGAUAGCGCAGGGAUGGACCUAUGGCGCAUUAGCUGGUUGGCGGGGCAACGGCCCACCAAGGCAACGAUGCGUAGCCGGCCUGAGAGGGCGGACGGCCACAUUGGGACUGAGACACGGCCCAGACUCCUACGGGAGGCAGCAGUAGGGAAUUUUCGGCAAUGGGGGAAACCCUGACCGAGCAACGCCGCGUGAGCGAAGAAGGCCUUCGGGUCGUAAAGCUCUGUUGUAAAGGAAGAACGGCGCAUACAGGAAAUGGUAUGCGAGUGACGGUACUUUACCAGAAAGCCACGGCUAACUACGUGCCAGCAGCCGCGGUAAUACGUAGGUGGCGAGCGUUAUCCGGAAUCAUUGGGCGUAAAGAGGGAGCAGGCGGCCGCAAGGGUCUGUGGUGAAAGCCCGAAGCUA